AAAAGGAAAUGCAGGAAGUAUGCUGAUAGAACACACUUGUGGAAUGACGGAUCACAUGGUUCAGGAACGAUUAUACAAUGUAAUAUCGAUACUGUCACUUAAGUCACUUUGCCCUAAGUUACCAGUCAUUUUUAAAACAUCUAGUCAUAUUGUAUUUGCACUGGAUUGCACUUGUUCUUGUACUAUUUCAUAUGCAAAAGGACAGAAUGGGAAAAAUGUCACUUAUUCUUUUAUCAUGUCAUCUGUGGGUAUGAUUGCAUGGACAUUUCAGGGAGUACAAAGGAGGCAGUCAUGAAGGACAGUUUUUUUUAAAGAAAGAAAGAAAAGAAAAGAAAAGAAGAAAAAGCCAUCCCUUCAUCGGUUCAGGCUGCUCACGGACUGCUUCUCAAGGUCGCGCAGCCUCACACUCUCAAGGUGCUCACACACUGCUCCGACAAACGCCAUCAGACUCCAGCGAACAGCAGCAUUUGGCGAUGUUAGAUGGACCACGGCACGUUUCUACUCUUCCACAGUGAGAACCCUAACCCUUUAAAAUGUUGGGGUACGUUGCCGUUUGUUGAGGCAGUGUGUGGAAGCACCUUCAACCUCCACGGCUCCCAAACGAAUCUCACUCUCAUCUCAUCAUACACACAGCACAGAUGUGUGUAUUACCUUACCUGCACGGAUGAGCUGACUGGAGUGUGGAGAUGAGUAGAGGAGGAGCUGGACAUGCAUGAUGGACAUUUGAGAAGAGAUGGCCAUGAUGAAUUGGCCAUGAUGAAAGCUUGAGAAGAUUUGGGCCAGUUGGUAGAUGAUGCCAACGCUCACUUCAGUUCAGGCAACUUUAUUGAUCCCAACAAGGCCAAUUCCAUAGCAGCUUACACAGUGAAAAAAUAAAGUAACAGGAAUUAAGUAGUGAUGUGAUCAAAAUGUAACAAAAUAAUUGAUAAUUUCCACGUGUAAAUAAAUUGAA